CAGUAAUCAAACAAGUGAAACUGUGAAAAUGUAAAAGAUUAGUCAGAAAAUUCCAUGAUACCGCCAUGUUCUUUUACAAAAUUGCCCUUUCCCCUUCUCUCUUUAUUCCUCCUCCAUCUCCAGAGUCCAGCCACCCACGCCACCACCGCCAACCAGCCAGCACCACCCCUGUCGGCCCUCUCUUUUUCUCUCUCCUCCCAUCCCGUUCGUUUCCCCCUUACUAAAACUCGAUCAAAUUCGGAUUUUUGGCAAUUGAUCAACUUCAAUUAAAAUUUGACAAUUGAACUUACACACACUCCACUCUACACUAGUCAUAUUUUCUCAAUUUCGAAAUCUUUGCAAUUUUGUUUCUGCAAUUAAAUUUUCAGAUUCAACGUCAAUUUCUUGCCAAGUCCAGAAGAAAUUCCCAAUUUCAGCUCUUAUCAUCAUCAUCGAAUUUCUGGGUUCCAAAAUUUGUCCUAAUUAAUGUUGAAAUUCGACUCAAAUUAUGCUUCUGAUUGCCGUUAUUGCGAAUCAUGUGGAAGUUCCUCUGGCGGUCUUUCAAGUCAAAUUUAGCUCUCUUCAGCUCAAGAGAUUCGAGAAUUGAGCUCACCCAGCUUGCUUGCCAAGCUACCAACUGGUUAGGGUUCGGGAUCCUUACGUUCAAAUACCCUGCACACCAGCCAACGAAAGAGCAUCAUACAACUCUGAAGGCAAACGGGUUGCAAGGAUGGCAUACAAUGGGAUUGCCUUGGGCAUAGCUAGCCCUAAGCCUUCUGUCAUAUCAACUGAGCCACCAUUGUCGGUCCAUAUAUCAAAUCCUUGUACCAAACGAGCCAACGUCAGGUGAACCACUUGCAACCCAAAGUUCAUCCCUGGGCAAGCCCUUCUUCCUAGGGAAAACGGGAUGUACUCAUAACUCUGACCUCUAAAAUCAAUACUCCCAUGCUCAUUUAGGAACCUUUCGGGCCGAAACUCGUCUGGCCCGUGCCACACCCUUGGAUCCCGGUGCACCUUCCAGAUGUCAACGAUUAUGCGGGUUCCUUUUGAGAUGAAGUGGCCAUCUAUGUGGCAAUCUUCCAUCGCCUCACGUGGACCUGCCAAAGGGCUCGGUGGGUACAUACGAAGUGUUUCCUUGACAAUGGCUUGGAGGUAUGGUAGGUUAGCGAUGUCUGAUUCCUCUACCCAUCUCUGUUUCCCAACUUGGUGAUCCAGUUCUUCUUGGGCUGCUUUUAGGGCCUUGGGGUGGUUCAAUAGUAGUGAGAUGGCCCAACUUAGUGUGAUGGAGGUGCUUUCCGACCCCGUUAAUAAUAGUAUCUGCAUAUAAAAUUAUAUAUUAUUUGAGAAAAAAAAAAUGUUGAAAAAAUCAUGAAAUUUUCAAGGGACCAGAAAUUCAGAAUAUGCUUGCAUAAAAAAGUCAUGCACUCAAUCCAGAAAUUUUCUUAAGAUUGAUUUCAGCUAAGUUAGGGUGUGUUUUAUUCAUCUGGUUUUACUAAUCUGUAUUUAUAUGAACUUAAGUGAACCUAUCAAUUGAAGCGGACAUAACAGGGCAUUAGUUGAUGAAGAGCUAUUCGUCUACAUCAUUGAUGUUUGUGCUUUCUACUCUCCACCCACCCAAAGAAAUAGUUAUGUUCAAUACUAUAAUAAAUCAAAAAGUUAUCCUUCUAAUCAAAUAAUUACAGUUUGUCACUAUAUAGUUAUAUUUUAUAAUGAUGACAUCAGUAGUCUUAUGCAUAAGGCGUUCUCAUCUGUGAAAAUACCAUACUUAUUAUGAUGAAAUAGAUUAGAAAAUACCAGUGAUGUUGCUUUGAUGACAGUGUCCCUAGUGUAGCCAGACAUUACACUGCCUUCUGCAAGGUUUGACAGCAAAACAUCCAUGAAGUCAGUAUCUUCACAACCACAUUGAUGUUCUUUCCUUGUUUGGAUAUGCUCAUCGAGCCAAUGUCCAAUAAUCAUGUCUAUUUCCUUGUGAAUAUCCUUCAUAGACCUGAUAUACCCCAUUACAUCCAUCCAUUCAAUAGACGGUAUGAAAUCCGAGGGCACGGCCACCCCAGCAACAUAUGUAGCUUUGCCUAUUAACUUCUUAAACUGCGAAGCAAAGGUGCCAUUUUCUUCGUAUGAUUGAGGAGAAAACGUCUUUCCAACUAUCAUACGGAUAACAAUAUUAAAACUUGUGUACUCAAACCACUUACAUAGUGAAAUUUUCCCACUUUGGAACUUAUUGUUGUUGUCUGAAAGUUUUCUGCAUUCCUUAAACAGAUGUUUGAUGCAGGAGUUCACCUCUGAAGCUCGAACAUGCUUCAUUUUCUCGAGCCUCUUUGUUGAUAAAAGCUCAACAGUUGAUAUCUUUCUGAUAUCGCGCCAGUAUUUUCCAUAUGGAGAGAUGGCAAAUGAUGCGUAGUUGUAAGCAAAGUACUUGCUUACAGCCAUAGCAGGACGUGUUGCAGUGACAGCAUCGUUGUUCAGGAAACAAUCUUUCACUGUUUCCCAGGAACUCAGGACUACUACACGCUGUUGGCCAAGGCGGAGGGAGAAGAUUGGGCCGCAUUCAUCAGCCAUUGCUCCGAGUGUUCGGGCUAUGGUUUUUUUGCCACUUAGAAGAUGUAAGUGACCUAUGAAGGGCAAUGCCCCUGGUGGUUGAGGAAGUUUCUUACUCAUUUUGUGCUUGUUAAUACUUUUUAUUGAUUUCCGGGUACUAUGGUAUGUUGGAAUCAGAGUUACAGCUAGAAUAACUAGCAGAAUCAACUGCCAAUAUGGAGUGAAAAUUUCCAUAUUUUUUCACUCUUGCUAGAGUUGGUGUAAGGUGGUGUCUUUGAGGUUUGGAAGACAAAGGAAAAUGCAGGUUUUAUGGUUGAA